rnacentral:lncRNA from 1 species
GGAACUGAUGCAUAUGUGAGAGACGUUUUCCCGCAUUUUCUCUCAGUGAGAUGCAGAAACAGAUGUCUGUAUGUUAAUGCACUGUGUGUGUAUUGUCUGUCUCAGAAGUAUCUUAAUUUCUUUUAUCCUUACACAAUAUUGGUAAAAAAAAAUAUCGCAAUUAGAUUAUUUUCCAAAAUCGUUCAGCCCUAACGCACGCACACACACACGCACUCACACACGCACUCACUCUCUCUCUCACACACACACACACACGCACUCACACUCACUCUCUCUCUCACACACACACACACGCACUCACACUCACUCUCUCUCUCACACACACACACUCUCUCUCUCUCUCACACACACACACACGCACUCACACUCACUCUCUCUCUCACACACACACACUCUCUCUCUCUCUCACACACACACACACGCACUCACACUCACUCUCUCUCUCACACACACACACUCUCUCUCUCUCUCACACACACACACACGCACUCACACUCACUCUCUCUCUCACACACACACACUCUCUCUCUCUCUCACACACACACACACGCACUCACACUCACUCUCUCUCUCACACACACACACUCUCUCUCUCUCUCACACACACACACACGCACUCACACUCACUCUCUCUCUCACACACACACACUCUCUCUCUCUCUCACACACACACACACGCACUCACACUCACUCUCUCUCUCACACACACACACUCUCUCUCUCUCUCACACACACACACACGCACUCACACUCACUCUCUCUCUCACACACACACACUCUCUCUCUCUCUCACACACACACACACGCACUCACACUCACUCUCUCUCUCACACACACACACUCUCUCUCUCUCUCACACACACACACACGCACUCACACUCACUCUCUCUCUCACACACACACACUCUCUCUCUCUCUCACACACACACACACGCACUCACACUCACUCUCUCUCUCACACACACACACUCUCUCUCUCACACACACACACACACACACUCUCUCAUGCGCACACACUCACACACACACACACACACACUCACACAGUGACAGCACAGAAAUGAAGACAGCCAUGAAUGUUAGUAUAAUUUUACCUCUUGUUCU